rnacentral:rRNA from 1 species
AUUGAACGCUGGCGGCAUGCCUUACACAUGCAAGUCGAACGGUAACAGGUCUUCGGAUGCUGACGAGUGGCGAACGGGUGAGUAAUACAUCGGAACGUGCCUAGUAGUGGGGGAUAACUACUCGAAAGAGUGGCUAAUACCGCAUGAGAUCUACGGAUGAAAGCAGGGGAUCGCAAGACCUUGUGCUACUAGAGCGGCCGAUGGCAGAUUAGGUAGUUGGUGGGAUAAAAGCUUACCAAGCCGACGAUCUGUAGCUGGUCUGAGAGGACGAUCAGCCACGCUGGGACGGAGACACGGCCCAGGCGCCUACGGGAGGCAGCAGUGGGGAAUUUUGGACAAUGGGCGCAAGCCUGCUCCAGCAAUGCCGCGUGCAGGAUGACGGCCUUCGGGUUGUAAACUGCUUUUGUACGGAACGAAAGGCCCUGGGUUAAUACCCUGGGGUCAUGACGGUACCGUAAGAAUAAGCACCGGCUAACUACGUGCCAGCCGCCGCAGUAA